rnacentral:rRNA from 1 species
UACGUAGGGUGCGAGCGUUGUUCGGAUUUACUGGGCUUAAAGGGCGCGUAGGUGGCCUUGUAAGUCAAAGGUGGAAUUCCACAGCUCAACUGUGGAACUGCGCUGGAAACUACAUGGCUUGAGGACGGUAGAGGGAGACGGAACUGCUGGUGUAGGGGUGAAAUCCGUAGAUAUCAGCAGGAACGCCGGUGGGGAAGCCGGUCUCCUGGGCCGUUCCUGACGCUGAGGCCCGAAAGCUAGGGGAGCAAACCGG